rnacentral:rRNA from 1 species
GUAGGGAAUAUUGGGCAAUGGAUGCAAGUCUGACCCAGCCAUCCCGCGUGCCGGAAGAAGGCCCUCAGGGUUGUAAACGGCUUUUGACGGUGAAGAAUCGACAGGAUGCGUCCUGUUUUGACGGUAGCCGUUGAAUAAGCACCGGCUAACUCCGUGCCAGCAGCCGCGGUAAUACGGAGGGUGCGAGCGUUGUCCGGAUUUAUUGGGUUUAAAGGGUGCGUAGGCUGGAAGGUCAGUCAGCGGUGAAAAGCUGUCGCUUAACGAUAGUUUUGCCGCAGAUACUUCCUUUCUUGGAUGAGGAGGAGGCCACUGGAACGGAUGGUGUAGCGGUGAAAUGCAUAGAUAUCAUCCAGAACACCGAUUGCGAAGGCAGGUGGCUGUACCUUAAUCGACGCUGAUGCACGAAAGCAUGGGGAGCAAACAGGAUUAGAAACCCGUGUAGUCC